CAGUAGCCGCGGUAAUACGAAGGGGGCUAGCGUUGCUCGGAAUGACUGGGCGUAAAGGGCGCGUAGGCGGCGAUCAAAGUCAGGCGUGAAAUUCCUGGGCUCAACCUGGGGGCUGCGCUUGAUACUUGGUUGCUUGAGUGGGGAAGAGGGUCGUGGAAUUCCCAGUGUAGAGGUGAAAUUCGUAGAUAUUGGGAAGAACACCGGUGGCGAGGGCGGCGACCUGGUCCUUGACUGACGCUGAGGCGCGAAAGCGUGGGGAGCAAACAGGAUUAGAUACCCCCGUAGUCCCUGUCUCUUAUAC
rnacentral:rRNA from 1 species